rnacentral:rRNA from 1 species
GUGAGUAAUGCCUAGGAAUCUGCCUGGUAGUGGGGGAUAACGUCCGGAAACGGGCGCUAAUACCGCAUACGUCCUGAGGGAGAAAGUGGGGGAUCUUCGGACCUCACGCUAUCAGAUGAGCCUAGGUCGGAUUAGCUAGUUGGUGGGGUAAAGGCCUACCAAGGCGACGAUCCGUAACUGGUCUGAGAGGAUGAUCAGUCACACUGGAACUGAGACACGGUCCAGACUCCUACGGGAGGCAGCAGUGGGGAAUAUUGGACAAUGGGCGAAAGCCUGAUCCAGCCAUGCCGCGUGUGUGAAGAAGGUCUUCGGAUUGUAAAGCACUUUAAGUUGGGAGGAAGGGCAGUAAGUUAAUACCUUGCUGUUUUGACGUUACCAACAGAAUAAGCACCGGCUAACUUCGUGCCAGCAGCCGCGGUAAUACGAAGGGUGCAAGCGUUAAUCGGAAUUACUGGGCGUAAAGCGCGCGUAGGUGGUUCAGCAAGUUGGAUGUGAAAUCCCCGGGCUCAACCUGGGAACUGCAUCCAAAACUACUGAGCUAGAGUACGGUAGAGGGUGGUGGAAUUUCCUGUGUAGCGGUGAAAUGCGUAGAUAUAGGAAGGAACACCAGUGGCGAAGGCGACCACCUGGACUGAUACUGACACUGAGGUGCGAAAGCGUGGGGGAGCAAACAGGAUUAGAUACCCUGGUAGUCCACGCCGUAAACGGAUGUCGACUAGCCCGUUGGGAUCCUUGAGAUCUUA